rnacentral:rRNA from 1 species
UACGUAGGGCGCGAGCGUUAUCCGGAAUUAUUGGGCGUAAAGAGUUCGUAGGCGGUUUGUCACGUCUGCUGUGAAAACUGGAGGCUCAACCUCCAGCCUGCAGUGGGUACGGGCAGACUAGAGUGCGGUAGGGGAGAUUGGAAUUCCUGGUGUAGCGGUGGAAUGCGCAGAUAUCAGGAGGAACACCGAUGGCGAAGGCAGAUCUCUGGGCCGUAACUGACGCUGAGGAGCGAAAGCAUGGGGAGCGAACAGG